UGGGUCGCUCUGAAAAUAAUUUCGUUUUUUCACACGAGUGUCGCUAGUCGACCGUUUAUCCAGCCAACUUCAUUCUAGAGUCGAAAUUAUUGGGUCGCUCGGAAAGUAAUUUCGUUUUCUCGCACGAGUGUCGCUAGUCGAACGUUUAUCCAGCCAACUUCAUUCUAGAGUCGAAAUUAUUGGGUCGCUCGGAAAGUAAUUUCGUUUUCUCGCACGAGUGUCGCUAGUCGAACGUUUAUCCAGCCAACUUCGUUCUAAACCGUGUUAUUACAUAUUUCGAGAGCAUUGGCAUUUCGUCGUCGUUUAUGCAUGAGAAAAAUUCGUUCGAUUCUGUGCGCGAUCGUGUGUGAUAACAAAG